ensembl:lncRNA
CUGAAAAUUUAAUUCUAGUGGAGGGAAGGAGGGAAUUUUGAGAGGUUUUAAGAAGGGCCAAAUUAGAUGUAUUUUUCUGAGCCAAGUUGGAUGUCUGUGCUGGCCAGACCAGAGGAGAUAGCGAGUAAAGCAGACUUCUGUUGGAUUACUUGGCUACAACAGUUAUCAACUACACAAACAAACAAGCAAAUGAAGAAUGCCCUUGUGAAACACUGUGGCAAAUCCCACCAAGAUAAAGUUGUAAAAUCUGGACACAAAGUUUAAUGUCUGGAUCUAAGUUGUGGUUUUAACUUUUCUUUCCCCCGCCCCUCAGCUGAAUUCAGCAAAGAUGACUAGCUACAAUCAUCUUAGGUUCAAAGGUCCACAGCCCUGGUGGAUAAAAUAAAUGGAGGAACCCAAAAUAGAAGUGUUGCUGGUGUUUGGCCAUAUUAAAAAAAAAAAAAAAAAAAAAAAAAAAAAAAAAAAAAAAAAAAAAAAAAAAAAAAAAAAAAAAAAAAUUGCCGGAUGAAAAAAAAAAAAAAAAAAAAAAUGACAGCCUUUGACCAUUGCAGUAACUUUUUCAAAUUGCUAUCCAAGCAAAGCAUUAGCACUUUCCAGGCUCUGCACCUCAGUGCAAGAGCAGAGCUGGAUCCUGCCCAGGAGCACGGCAGGGACAGGCAUUGCAGCUGCUCUGGAGCCACCUGGAUGCUUUGCUCACAUGGUAUGAAAUGCAGAAGAAAACUAUUCCUCUGAAUUUGCAAAUGGGUAGGUGCAAGGACAUAUCUGCCACUUGGGUGUGUGACAUGGUGGCAGACAUGAGAGCAAUGCAAAUUCCUGAAUAUAGUAAGUGGGCUAAAUGAAGAAAUACUAGUAGUUCCUCAUGAGCUCAGACAUACUUGGAGCACUUGUUAGUCUCUAUAUUAAUAUUUCUGUUUCUGGAAAUAGGCUCAUAUCCACCCCAAACUCUACCACUGUUAGUUAACUUCUCUGUCUCUGAGUCUUUCCCCCAGAACACUUACGUAAAGGCUAAUGGCUCCACAGGAUUAUUUUCUUCCCUAUUUUACAUCCAGAGUAACAUCAGUCAGUUAAAGAAAUUCAGAUAAUGGGUUCUUUAUCUCCAGUUCAGAAUUCCCUUGCAAUUCACCUUCGUGAAACCAUUUAUCCCGUCUCUGGUGUUGUUUCUCUGUUCAGCCAGCUUAUCCAAUCUUGGCCAUUUCCUCGUCUAUAAUCUUGUAUGCUUGUGACUCAUGGGAGACCCGCCUUUCAUUUUUAUUGCCCCACCUACUGGAACAUUUCUUUUGCUCAUGAUUUUAUUUUAAAACUUUCCAAUAUUCAAUAGUCUGACUUACUUCCUCUCUGCCUAUGAAAUUUUCUGAAAGCAAGAAAGAGAAAUGUUUUGAAGAAAUUGCA